rnacentral:misc_RNA from 1 species
GUUGGCCCACCGGAUUCGUGGCAGGCUCUGUGAAAUUGCAGUCUUACGUCUGUGUCAAAUUUCAACUUACAUUCGUGACAUUCGUACUGUGGAAGUGGGCCUAUAUCUUCGUCUGAGUCUAUAGAUUCUAUUGGACUGAUCGAAUGUGGGAGUAGAGAACGAACACUGUUUUGAAUCCGGUGUGCUAAUGAUAUAAUAGAGAUGAUUUGGAGAAUUGGAAUAGAAUCAUUUUGAAAAUUGGCAAAUUAUUCCCAACAUGAAAAAUUGGUUUUUCGAAAAAUCAGGAGGCAGCUAAUACGAUGUUUCUGUGUGGUACGGGGUAUCGAUGCACCCCGCACAGCUGGGAAGCGGCCUCGGACAAAAUGAUGACCAGAGUCUUCUUCCGAGGAGAUAUGGAAUGUUCUGUGGCACGUUACAGUUUAAUUAACUAAAGUACGUUUGCGGUCGAGUGCUAUUAUGGAAGGACAGCUACUUACAUUUAUACGUGUGUAUACAUAUAUGUAUAAUAUUUAUGUACCUAUAAUAUACCUGUGAGUUUUAAGCGUUGCAAGACA